AAAAGAUAGAAAGGGCAAACGGUGGAUGCCUUGGCGCCGGCAGGCGAUGAAGGACGUGGUAGGCUGCGAUAAGCCUCGGGGAGCCGCCAAGCAGGCUUUGAACCGAGGAUUUCCGAAUGGGGCAACCCAGCCGGAGUUAUCCGGUUAUCCUUUGGCUGAAUGCAUAGGCCUUAGGAAGCGAACCCAGGGAAGUGAAACAUCUCAGUACCUGGAGGAGAAGAAAUCAAGCGAGAUUCCCUCAGUAGCGGCGAGCGAACGGGGAUUAGCCCAAACCGUCGGCUUUCGAGCAGGCGGGGUUGUAGGACCUCCAUACGAGAUCCGUAUGCGAUAAUGGAAGCAGCUGGGAAGCUGUGCCAUAGAGAGUGAUAGCCUCGUACAUGAAAUCGUACGCGGCUCAGGAGGCUCCUGAGUACCGCGGGGCACGUGAAACCCCGUGGGAAUCUGGGUGGACCAUCAUCCAAGGCUAAAUACUCGCCGGCGACCGAUAGUGCACCAGUACCGUGAGGGAAAGGUGAAAAGAACCCCUGAUAGGGGAGUGAAAUAGAACCUGAAACCGUUUGCCUACAAGCAGUUCGAGCAUCUUUAUGGUGUGAGAGCGUGCCUUUUGCAUAAUGAGUCAGCGAGUUACUCUCUCGUGCAAGGUUAAGCGUGAGCGGAGCCGAAGCGAAAGCGAGUCUGAAUAGGGCGAUCAGUACGAGGGAGUAGACCCGAAACCCGGUGAUCUAUCCAUGGGCAGGUUGAAGCUCGGGUAAAACCGAGUGGAGGACCGAACCGUUGAAGGUUGAAAACUUCUCGGAUGACCUGUGGAUAGGGGUGAAAGGCCAAUCAAACCGGGUGAUAGCUGGUUCUCCCCGAAAUAUAUUGAGGUAUAGCCUCAGGUGAUGACUGACGGAGGUAGAGCACUGAAAGGGCUAGGGGCCCCACCAGGUUACCAAACCCUAUCAAACUCCGAAUGCCGUCAGUUUCCAGCCUGGGAGUCAGACUCUGGGUGCGAAGGUCCAGGGUCGAAAGGGAAACAGCCCAGACCGACAGCUAAGGUCCCAAAAUCCAUGCUCAGUGGGAAAGGAAGUGGGAGCGUAUAGACAGCCAGGAGGUUGGCUUAGAAGCAGCCAUCCUUUAAAGAAAGCGUAAUAGCUCACUGGUCUAAUGCUCCUGCGCCGAAAAUGUAACGGGGCUAAGCAUGGUACCGAAGCUUCGGGCGCGAACUUUGUUCGCGCGGUAGGGGAGCGUUCCCAUCGGGACGAAGGUGAAUCGUAAGGUUUGCUGGACUGAUGGGAAGUGAUUAUGCUGACAUGAGUAACGAUAAAACAGGUGAGAAACCUGUUCGCCGUAAGCCCAAGGUUUCCUGGGUAAAGGUAAUCUUCCCAGGGUUAGUCGGUCCCUAAGGCGAGGCCGAAAGGCGUAGCCGAUGGAAAACGGAUUAAUAUUUCCGUACCACGCAUAACGCGCGAUGAGGGGACGCAGAAGGGUAGACCAUCCAUCUGUUGGAAUAGAUGGUGUAAGCGUGUAGGCUUGAGGGUAGGCAAAUCCGCCCUCUGGACGGCCGAGACGCGAUGCCGUGACUUAACGUCUGAAGUGGUUAAGCCCAUGCUGCCAAGAAAAGCCUCUAAGUAUAGUUGUGCGUGACCGUACCGCAAACCAACUCAGGUGGGCGGGGAGAGCAUCCCAAGGCGCUUGAGAGAACUCUAGCUAAGGAACUCGGCAAAAUGACCCCGUAACUUCGGGAUAAGGGGUGCUUCUGAUGGUGAGAGAAUUUACUUCUUCAGCUGUCGGAAGCCGCAGAGAAAUGGCGGUGGCGACUGUUUACUAAAAACAUAGGACUCUGCUAAGUCGCAAGACGACGUAUAGGGUCUGACGCCUGCCCGGUGCCGGAAGGUUAAGGGGUGGGGUUAGCGUAAGCGAAGCUCUAAACCGAAGCCCCGGUAAACGGCGGCCGUAACUAUAACGGUCCUAAGGUAGCGAAAUUCCUUGUCGGGUAAGUUCCGACCUGCACGAAUGGCGUAACGAUCUCCGCGCUGUCUCAGCUAGAGACUCAGUGAAAUUGAAUUGGCGGUGAAAAUGCCGUCUACCCGCGGAAAGACGGAAAGACCCUGUGCACCUUUACUGCAGCUUGACAUUGGGUUUUGGGCUAGCAUGUGUAGGAUAGGUGGGAGACUGUGAAUCGGGCACGCCAGUGUUCGUGGAGUCACCCUUGAAAUACCACCCUUGCUAGUCUAAGGCUCUAAUCCGAUACCGUUAUCCGGUUCGGAAACAGUGUCUGGCGGGUAGUUUGACUGGGGCGGUCGCCUCCCAAAAAGUAACGGAGGCAUGCAAAGGUUCCCUCAGGCUGAUUGGAAACCAGCCGUUGAGUGCAAAGGCAUAAGGGAGCUUGACUGUAAGAGAGACAUCUCGAGCAGGAACGAAAGUUGGCCUUAGUGAUCCGGUGGUCCCGCAUGGAAGGGCCAUCGCUCAUUGGAUAAAAGGUACGCCGGGGAUAACAGGCUGAUCGCGUCCAAGAGUUCACAUCGACGACGCGGUUUGGCACCUCGAUGUCGGCUCAUCACAUCCUGGGGCUGAAGCAGGUCCCAAGGGUUCGGCUGUUCGCCGAUUAAAGUGGUACGCGAGCUGGGUUUAAAACGUCGUGAGACAGUUUGGUCCCUAUCUUCCGUGGGCGCAGGAGACUUGAGAGGGGUUGCCCCUAGUACGAGAGGACCGGGGUGAACGAUCCGCUGGUGGACCUGUUGUCGUGCCAACGGCACAGCAGGGUAGCCAUGAUCGGAAAGGAUAACCGCUGAAGGCAUCUAAGCGGGAAGCCUGCCUCAAGAUAAGGUCUCCCCGAAGGACCCAUGUAGACUACAUGGUUGAUAGGCCGGGUGUGUAAGCACAGCGAUGUGUUCAGCAAACCGGUACUAAUAGUCCGUUCGUCUUUUUU
rnacentral:rRNA from 1 species